ACUACGGGAGGCAGCAGUGGGGAAUAUUGCACAAUGGGGGAAACCCUGAUGCAGCGACGCCGCGUGAGUGAAGAAGUAUUUCGGUAUGUAAAGCUCUAUCAGCAGGGAAGAAGAAAGACGGUACCUGACUAAGAAGCCCCGGCUAACUACGUGCCAGCAGCCGCGGUAAUACGUAGGGGGCAAGCGUUAUCCGGAUUUACUGGGUGUAAAGGGAGCGUAGACGGCUGUGCAAGUCUGAAGUGAAAGCCCAGGGCUCAACCCUGGGACUGCUUUGGAAACUGUGGAGCUAGAGUGCUGGAGAGGUACGUGGAAUUCCUAGUGUAGCGGUGAAAUGCGUAGAUAUUAGGAGGAACACCAGUGGCGAAGGCGGCUUACUGGACAGUAACUGACGUUGAGGCUCGAAAGCGUGGGGAGCAAACAGGAUUAGAUACCCUAGUAGUC
rnacentral:rRNA from 1 species